AGAGUUUGAUCCUGGCUCAGGAUGAACGCUAGCUACAGGCUUAACACAUGCAAGUCGAGGGGAAACGACAUCGAAAGCUUGCUUUUGAUGGGCGUCGACCGGCGCACGGGUGGGUAACGCGUAUCCAACCUGCCCACCACUUGGGGAUAACCUUGCGAAAGUAAGACUAAUACCCAAUGACGUCUCUAGAAGACAUCUGAAAGAGAUUAAAGAUUUAUACGGUGAUGGAUGGGGAUGCGUCUGAUUAGCUUGUUGGCGGGGUAACGGCCACCAAGGCGACGAUCAGUAGGGGUUCUGAGAGGAAGGUCCCCACAUUGGAACUGAGACACGGUCCAAACUCCUACGGAGGCA
rnacentral:rRNA from 1 species